rnacentral:rRNA from 1 species
GAUGAACGCUAGCGAUAGGCCUAACACAUGCAAGUCGAGGGGCAUCACAUGAAGUAGCAAUACGGAUGGUGGCGACCGGCGCACGGGUGAGUAACACGUAUGCAACCUGCCUUCAACAAGGGGAUAACCCGUUGAAAGACGGACUAAUACCCUAUAACACAGGGGUCCCGCAUGGGAAUAUUUGUUAAAGGACAACCGGUUGAAGAUGGGCAUGCGUUCCAUUAGCUAGUUGGCGGGGUAACGGCCCACCAAGGCAACGAUGGAUAGGGGAACUGAGAGGUUUAUCCCCCACACUGGUACUGAGACACGGACCAGACUCCUACGGGAGGCAGCAGUGAGGAAUAUUGGUCAAUGGACGCAAGUCUGAACCAGCCACGUCGCGUGAAGGAAGACGGCCCUACGGGUUGUAAACUUCUUUUAUACGGGAAUAAAGUGCCCCACGCGUGGGGUUUUGCAUGUACCGUAUGAAUAAGGAUCAGCUAACUCCGUG